rnacentral:rRNA from 1 species
UACGUAGGGGGCAAGCGUUGUCCGGAUUUAUUGGGCGUAAAGAGCGUGUAGGCGGCUAGAUAGGUCCGUUGUGAAAACUCGAGGCUCAACCUCGAGACGUCGAUGGAAACCAUCUGGCUAGAGUCCGGAAGAGGAGAGUGGAAUUCCUGGUGUAGCGGUGAAAUGCGCAGAUAUCGGGAGGAACAUCAGUGGCGAAAGCGGCUUCCUGGACCAGAACUGACGAUCAGGCUCGAAAGCGUGGGGAGCAAACAGG